rnacentral:rRNA from 1 species
UACGGGGGGAGCAAGCGUUGUUCGGAAUCACUGGGCGUAAAGGGAGUCUAGGCGGUUUGGUAAGUGGGAUGUGAAAUCCCCGGGCUCACCCCGGGACCUGCAUCCCAAACUGCUGAGCUUGAGUACAGGAGAGGGUGGGGGAAUUCCUGGUGUAGCGGUGAAAUGCGCAGAUAUCAGGAGGAACACCGAUGGCGAAGGCAGGUCUCUGGGCUGCUACUGACGCUGAGAAGCGAAAGCAUGGGGAGCGAACAGG